ACACACACACACACACACACAUACACCCUGUAGGCCAGGGUGGAUCCCAUGCCCUACAGACUCAGACAGAGGAAGAUGGUUUCCUUCCUCAUUCCCUAGAGGGGGAUACUAGUGUCAUGUGGACCCCACUGCCUCUCAGAGCCAGCAGUGCAGUGCUCCCAUCUUUCUACAAGACUCGGCCUUUCUCUGAUUGCUUUCUUGCUUGACACAGCGGGACACAUACAACUUCAGGGUCAUUUUUUUUUUCCCCCCCUCAAGGUCCUCAAUUCAUACACUACACAAAGUCCUUUUGUCAUUUUCUAGAUUUGAAGGGACACUCCCUUCACAGGUCAGGGAUGUGGCUGAGUGACAGCUGUGUUUGCAUGGCUGCCUGCACAGUGCUGGCUGCUUGAUAAGGCCAGGUGCCAGGGAGGGACAGUGGGAAAAAUAAUAGGGAAGGGAGAAGGGAAAGAGGAGGCGCUUCCCUUCCCAGCUUUCUGGCAAGAGAAGAAAGAGGACCCAGUUCAGGGACAAGGCUGCAAGGGGAACCUGUCUUGGACUAUUUCUCAUGCAUUUCUCUUCAGAAACCCAGCAAGGCCCCAGCAUGGGAGAGGUAUGUUAGACGUGGAUCAGUGAAUUAAAAAGCUCCACACAGGUGGCUCCAAUCCCUCUCUCCCAUGUCAAGGUCGGGCAGGUGGGGGUUGGAUAGAUGAAGCUGUCUGUGUACCAUCUGCCAAGCCAUGGACCCGUGUGCCAUGACACCUGGUGUAUGCUCAGAAGAGGGGACAGAAUGUCUCUCUUCCUCAAGAUGUCAGGAGAACCGCAGGGGCUGCUGGGCUCUGGACCACCUUGGACCACGGUAUGUUGGGGUGGUACUGACAAUCUCAUAUGGAGAAGGCACCCAUAGAGAGAGGGUCAUUUCAGGAGGGAACAGCCCUAUCCUGUGCAAGGUCUACCCCAGAUGCUCAACUUUGAGCUCCUGGAUGUGGGACUGAGAAGGAAGGCAGAGAGGGAAAGGCUGAGACAGAGGUAGUGUGGCUAAGGAGGAACUCUGUCUGAUGGGGAGACUCCUUCAUGGAUUGCUUGAUCACCAGCUCCUGUCCUGCCAGUACUCUGCUCAAGACCUUGGCAAUAUAAGACACAGCAUCCUCUAAAGGAUUAGACUCUGAUUUUAGUAUGCUUGGCUCUGGCUAAGAGGAGGUCCGUGGGAGGGGGCUUUAUUCUGCUGUAUUCCGGCUAUCUGCAGCAGGGGAUGUUUUCAGAGUGGUUUUUCAAUACAGUGAUGGAGGGUGUAAAGCAGCAGCGACUCCUGAUAUCCCCUGGUGAGAACAGCUUCAAGGAGGGGGAGGAGCUUGGCCUGUGGGAGGAGGGGCAGAACUGGGGGGUUGUGGUGGAAAGUGGGUCAACAGAAAAGGGGGGCCUGAAGGUGCUAAGUGAAUGGGUUUGGGGUGGCAUGUCUUGAGAACUUUCAGUAGCCAGGAGCUGCCUUAACCUGUGUCAAGCCAGCCUGGCAAGAUCCUACGUUCCAUGAUAAAUGUCCCGCCCAGUCCUGAGGAGAUUGUUUCUGCACCCACAAAGAAAAGAUCUCUUAUUACGAUCAUCCUGGAGUCUCCUCAAAGUCUCCACAAAAGACUGCCGCAUGCCUGCCUAUGCGGCUGCUGUAUGUCUCCAUCCAGCCCCGUCUCCACCCCACCUGCUGAGUGGAUUCCCGGGGUGCCGGGAGCAGCUGUGCAGCACGAAUCCCCACCUGACACCCUGUCUCAAGAGGAGGAGCCAAAGGCUGCUGAUGUCCUGUCUUUCAGCCCACCUCCUCCCUCAAUAACCCCCUGCCACCAAGCAUGUGGUCAGUGGGCUACUUUGCCUACCCCCAGCCUUUCUUUCUUUCUUUCUUUCUUUCUCCUCCAAAAGAUCCUGCUCCCCCUCCUUCUUCGAAGCCUCCUCCUUUGCCUGCCUCACAAUAGGUCUCCCCAUUGUCUCACGGGGGCGUCAUUACUGUCCCGCCGCGUGACAUCAUAAUAGGCUCCUGUCCCAGAAAACAAAGCCCUUUGGAGACACCGAGGAGACACGCCAUGUUUAUGUCGUCACUGACUAGACAGAAGUGGAAAUAGAGGGGGGCAGAGUAAACAUCUGUAGAUUGGGAAGAACAA